UUUGCCGGAAAUGAAUCCUAGGCCUACGGAGUAGAGUUGCGUUGCUCCAAGUUUCCGUGUCAGAGUUCAUGUUAAAUACACGAUGUGGAACAGCUCCUAGAUGAUUGAUAGGGAAUGGGAGGAGCCAGAUUAGAAGGGAAUUCCGAGCACAUGGAUGCUAUUUUCGUCCCAAACGGUGAGCAUUCUUUGAUGAAGUGCUAAAAAGUACAAGUUUGGACCUGUGGUAAAUAUCAAGUGCCCAUCAAUCCUGACAGAACUUCAAGACCACAGAUGUAAUUUGAACAUUUAAUCCUUCUUUU